GCAAUGUGCCGUAGAAACGCACGUGCGGACAACACGAGACGAGACAUGUUUAAUUUCAUGAUAAAUUUCUAUCAGAUAUCUAAAGUGACGUCGGCAGAUAAAAAUAAAUAGCCACAUUCAUCAAUCUUUUCAUGUCAGAACUUCAUAAUGUAAGGGAAAUAUAAAAAAAAACUUACCUGCACAGUAACAACUGCUUCUUGAGUCAGGAGUGUCUUUGAAGAGUCUGAUGGAUGAGGAGUGUAUCUUACUGUUUCAUCAACAGCAAUAUAGUGGCAGAAGGUCAAGUUCGUAGUUUUUAAAGUCAUAAGCCUCUGUUGGGGGUUCACCUCUGAUUUUUCACUUGCAUAGCAUAUUUUCGCCGUUCCUAUAAUCUGAAAAUAAAA